AUGAACUGAUACAUUUAGAAAUAUUCUUUAGAUUUCAUUUCUGCAUUUAUUGCCCAGUGUAUAUCUGAGCCUAUGGUGUCUGAAGUGGAAGUUGUAAUGAAUAGUGAAAGUAACAUCAAGACCAAAUUCUGAGAUCAUUUAUGAGUGGACCUAGGCUCUGAUGCAUUUCUUUAUGAGAGGCUGAUUUUUGCAAGCAGAACCACGGCUUUCGUACUGGGCUAAAGCCAUGGUUCUGCUAUAGGGUACUUCAGAAUUUAGUUUUUUAUUAUGUAAGUUGAGUCUAGGCAAAUGGAACUGCUACAAACAUAUUUCAGCUUUCCUCUUGGGCCAAAGCCAAAUACAGCCUGUUUUUGGGACCCUAUAAUUGAAAGAAUCGAAAAGGUUGGCUAGAUGAAAGUGGUGGUAUCGUUCUUUAGCAGCUCUUAUCAAGGCUGCUAUGUCCAAUUUUUUGGUCUAUUUAUUUUAUUCAAGAUACCCUUGGUAGUGGAUUGAGCAUCUUCAAAGGAACUUCUUGUGGGAGGGGAGAGAGUAAGGUCAAAAAAUUCAUCUUAUUAAUUGGAAGGAGGUUCAAAAGCCUCUUCAUGGAGGGGAUCUUGGAAUCUGAAAUAUUAGAGAGAGGAAUUGGGCACUUUUGAGCAAAUCAUAUGGUGGUUUAAGGAAGAACCAGAUGCUUUGCGGUAAAGUGUGGUCAUUGGGAAAUAUUUCUUCCAAGGGUAAGAAAUUUUAUUAAAGAAAGAAAGAAGGAAAAAAAAAAAAA